GUAGGGAAUAUUGGGCAAUGGAUGCAAGUCUGACCCAGCCAUCCCGCGUGCCGGAAGAAGGCCCUCAGGGUUGUAAACGGCUUUUGACGGUGAAGAAUCGACAGGAUGCGUCCUGUUUUGACGGUAGCCGUUGAAUAAGCACCGGCUAACUCCGUGCCAGCAGCCGCGGUAAUACGGAGGGUGCGAGCGUUGUCCGGAUUUAUUGGGUUUAAAGGGUGCGUAGGCUGGAAGGUCAGUCAGCGGUGAAAAGCUGUCGCUUAACGAUAGUCUUGCCGCAGAUACUUCCUUUCUUGGAUGAGGAGGAGGCCACUGGAACGGACGGUGUAGCGGUGAAAUGCAUAGAUAUCAUCCAGAACACCGAUUGCGAAGGCAGGUGGCUGUACCUUAAUCGACGCUGAUGCACGAAAGCAUGGGGAGCAAACAGGAUUAGAAACCCGAGUAGUCC
rnacentral:rRNA from 1 species